UCAGCAGCCGCGGUAAUACGAAGGGGGCGAGCGUUAUUCGGAAUCACUGGGCGUAAAGCGUGCGUAGGCGGACCUAAAAGUUAGGAGUGAAAGCCCAGGGCUCAACCCUGGAAUUGCUCUUAAAACUAUAGGACUAGAAUUCGGGAGAGGAUAGCGGAAUUGUCAGUGUAGCAGUGAAAUGCGUAGAUAUUGACAGGAACACCAGUGGCGUAAGCGGCUAUCUGGACCGACAUUGACGCUGAGGCACGAAAGCGUGGGGAUCAAACAGGAUUAGAUACCCUGGUAGUCCACGCCGUAAACGAUGUGUGCUUGUCGCCGGGAGGUUCUCCUUUCGGUGACGCAGCUAACGCGAUAAGCACACCGCCUGGGA
rnacentral:rRNA from 1 species